CAAGAUGAGAUUUCCCAACUUCGGUUAUAAGAUCCCUCGAAGAUGACGAGGUUAAUAGGUUUGAGGUGGAAGCGUGGUGACACGUGGAGCUGACGAAUACUAAUCGAUCGAAGACUUAAUCAAUUUUUAAA
rnacentral:rRNA from 1 species